AACGCACCUUGCGCCCUUUGGUAUUCCGAGGGGCAUGCCUGUUUGAGUGUCAUUAAAUUAUCAACCUUUACUAGCUUUUUGCUUUGCUAAAGGAUUGGAAGUGGGGGUAUUCAUUUUGCAGGUUUUUGAUAAAGAAAUCUGCUCCCCUCAAAUGCAUUAGCGGUUUCCUUGUGGACUCGUCUAUUAGUGUAAUAAAAUAUAUCUACGCUGUUAGAUGUCUACGUCUUAAGGUUAUAUACUGCUUUAUGGUCGUCUUUUAAUAGGACAACAUUUUUUUGACUCUUGACCUCAAAUCAGGUAGGACUACCCGCUGAACUUAA
rnacentral:misc_RNA from 1 species